rnacentral:lncRNA from 1 species
UCGGAUUUCGUCCUGGAGGAAUUUGCAGUCGCUGUCACGGUAAGUGUUCCAAACUUUACGGUGUGGCCACAGCCAAAUAACAUCCAUUCACCCACGCUCUACUUCGGCUCACCCACUCGUCUCGUCCUCCAACGAUGGGGCCGCUCAACAAGCUGUUAAUCACUCCAACAGGUAUUGGUUAUCCACAUCCAAGUAUGAGCAAGGAAUAUGUAAACAAUCCAAUGUACUCACAAUCUUCGUGAUACUGGUCCUCUCCCGCUCUCUUUCUCAUCCAGAUAUACACAACAAUCUAAGCAAUCCAAUGUACUCACAGUCUUCGUAAUACUGGUCUCCUCCCGCUCUCUUUCUCUCCCCAGCUUCGUGCAGACGCCCAGAAAGGUCUUCGUUGUUCCACAAUGUCACUAUUUCUCUACGGCACCUUCGUACAACAGACACGAGUGAGUACGACUUCUCUCCAUCAACUUCACUUUGGCAAACCUGUUCCAGUGGCCGUUUUCAAAUCCUCCAAUUCGCUUAGCGACUCCACAAUUACUCUCAUCUGCUUCGCCCUACUCCAGCGCCCAAACACUCCGUCCCACUCGUGGCGUUCCUUGGGAGGCCAAAAACAACAACACACCUUCCUGUAUCCUCGAUGCCCUCUUUAUACCCAUGAACUGCCCUGUCUGCAAUCGCCACAUCAUUGGACACACCUGCUGCAGAUUUCCCUUGAUUUGGAGCGUUCGGGGUUUUCCCGGAAGUGACAAGGGCUUACACAUUUCUGGUCCGGGCGGAACUUCUCCUCUCACUUUGGUUCCGCCCUCAAAGUCACUUCGUGACAAAUGUUUUCACUGUUUUCAACAUUAAUAAUAGUACAAAAUAUUUCUUCCAAAUCAGCAUAUUUAAAUGAUUGCUGAAGGAUCAUUUGAUGCUGAAGACUGGAGUAAUGAUGCUAAAAUUAAAUUAAAUUUAACAGAUAUAAAUUACAUUUUAAUUUGUUUAAAUAGAAAACUGUUAUUUUGAACUGUAAAAAUAUUUCACAAUAUUACUGUUUUUCUGUAUUUGUGAUUAAACAAAUGUGCCCUUGGUGAGCAUUUGAAAACUCAUAUGAUUAAAAAAAAAAUCACAGCAUCUUCAUAAUCUCAAUUACGAUUUACAGGCAGUAAAACAUAAACUGAAAGCUGAUGACAGACUCCUUGAGUUUAUGGAAUGUAUCACAGUUUGAGUAUCUGUAAAUGUCUUUACAAGCAAAUUCUGUCUUAUUGGCCCCUAGAGCUGGGGCUGAGAUCUAUAGCUAUCAGGACGAGGGUCUGGAUCAAUGCAAGACUUUGGAAGGUCAGCUGGGCUUCCUGCCAGUGCAGUCCACCUUUGUGACCUCCAUCUUAAACAGCCGUAGUUUGAUGCUAAUCCCACGGGUGACAGGUGUUCUGCCAGGGCUGGAGGAAACCGACAGGUGGAUGAGCUCUGGUCACUGACGUGUGUAAUAUACAGCCUGUUAACUGAGUGCAGGUGGAGAGCGCGUGCAGUGAGUUGAGCGCACACUGACUCCAAUGAUUGGCACUGAUUUGCUCUUCCUUAAAUUUAAGAAAAGCAAAUAUGGAAAAAGUUGCCAUUUUAAUUAGAGAAAUAUACUGUCAAUCAUUGUCAAUCAUAUAAACACAUAUACAUAUACAAAACAUAUACAUACAUACACACACACACACACACAUACAUUUUCGUUUCUCACGUUCAAAUUAGCUCAUGCAAAUAUGUGCUAAAUUAAAUUCAAC